rnacentral:rRNA from 1 species
UGGGGAAUUUUGCGCAAUGGGCGAAAGCCUGACGCAGCAACGCCGCGUGAGUGAUGAAGGCUUUCGGGUCGUAAAGCUCUGUCAGGGGGAAAGAAGUGUGCUGUGGCUAAUAUCCACGGUACUUGACGGUACCCCCAAAGGAAGCACCGGCUAACUCCGUGCCAGCAGCCGCGGUAAUACGGAGGGUGCGAGCGUUGUUCGGAAUUAUUGGGCGUAAAGCGCGUGUAGGCGGUUUGCUAAGUCUGAUGUGAAAGCCCCGGGCUCAACCUGGGAAGUGCAUUGGAAACUGGCAGACUUGAAUACGGGAGAGGGUAGUGGAAUUCCUAGUGUAGGAGUGAAAUCCGUAGAUAUUAGGAGGAACACCGGUGGCGAAGGCGGCUGCCUGGACCGAUAUUGACGCUGAGACGCGAAAGCGUGGGUAGCAAACAGG